rnacentral:misc_RNA from 1 species
AACCCUCAACCCGCCGAGACUGAGAGCUGCCGUCUACUGCUCUGAGUCUCCGCCGCCGGUUGCCGCCUGCUGAUGCUCGGCCGUCUUCCUCGUCUUUAGCUUAAGCUGUGUAAACACACGAUAGAACAUUAUGGCUGAAGAAUCAGUCUCGGAAGCUACAAAAUGUUUUAGGAAAAGAAAGAUGGAGUUCAGGAAGAAAGGGGGUAAGGGAAAGAAGAAGCAAAAGGGUGCGCCAUUUAGUGAAAAAAGAGUAAAAAUAGACAAUAAAAUGAAGAAGCUUUUUGAGAAGAGAGCUAGAGACUAUAACUCUGAUAAUGAAGAUGAUAAUGAUGGGGAGCCUUCCCCUGUAACUAGAGCUAAACGUACAUCAUAUGGUAAAGACAAGCCCAAAUCAUAUGGUAAAGACAAGCCAAAAUCAUAUGGUAAAGAGAAACCCACAUCAUAUGGUAGAGACAAAUCCACGUCAUAUCGUAAAGAGGAGGAGGAUUUUGAUGAGGAAUGGGCAGAUGAUGGAGAAGAGGAUCUCAAUGAGGAAAUUGAGAUAUCUGAAGAUGAAGAUGGAGAAGUUCAGCCUGGAAUUACAAAGUUUAUAGAUGGUUGUAACGCAUUCAGACUGGCGUUCAAAAAGAUUCUAAAGAAGUCUGCUUCUGAUGAUAUACUGGGCCCUGUCUUAUCAGCACACAAGAAGCUUGUUGCGGAGAAGCUUGCUGAAGAAGAUGUAGAACGAAAGGUUAAAGGGGAGGCAAAAAAGGAGAAGCACUUGAUAAGAGAGAAGGGACAUGAGAAACCUGCUAAUUUCUUGGACACCUAUGAAAAGUCUCUGAUAGCAGUUGCAACAAAGGGAGUUGUCAAGUUAUUCAAUGCUGUUAACAAAGCACAACAUGCUCAAAAAGGUUUAAAUCCCUCAAGGGCAAAGGACGAGAAAGUAAUAAAGAAGCGACGAAGAGAAGUCUUUUUCUCUGAAUUGGGCAAGGCACCAUCACAAACAACUGUAUCAAAGGCUGGUGCAUCCAAUUCUUUGGAAGAUGAAGGCCCCGCGUGGGCUCCUCUACGUGAUACCUACAUGCUGACUAAUCCCAAAUUAAAGGACUGGGAUAAGAAUCCGGACACAACUGUUGAUGACGAUGUAAGGAUGCCAGCUGAUUCAGAUUCAUCUGAUGAUGAAUAAGUUACUGAAAUUUUGAUAUUCAAUCUAUCUGCUUCAAGCAUGUUGGGAUGCCGACUGCCUAUAUCCAAAGCAGGGAAGUAUCGCGUAGGCAUAGUCAAAUUAACGCUGGAGCAACUUUUUGACUGUAUAGAGAUCCUCCUGUUGUUAGCUGAUGUUUUUUUUUGUAAUCCCUUUACAAAUUUUGAUAUUUUAUUUUCGAGGUCUCUUCGUAUUUUUUCCAUUAUUCGUGCGAGAGGGGAUACUUAAUGGUGUUCUAUAUAUUCCAGUAUUACACUAGGUUGAUUUAGCACUAUGAAAUCA